CAGUAGCCGCGGGAAUACGAGGGGGGCAAGCGUUGUUCGGAAUUAUUGGGCGUAAAGGGCGCGUAGGCGGUUUGGCAAGUUUGGUGUGAAAUCUUCGGGCUCAACUCGAAGUCUGCAUCGAAAACUGCCGGGCUUGAGUAUGGGAGAGGUGAGUGGAAUUUCCGGUGUAGCGGUGAAAUGCGUAGAUAUCGGAAGGAACACCUGUGGCGAAAGCGGCUCACUGGACCAUAACUGACGCUGAGGCGCGAAAGCUAGGGGAGCAAACAGGAUUAGAUACCCCUGUAGUCCCUGUCUCUUAUAC
rnacentral:rRNA from 1 species